GAUGAACGCUGGCGGCGUGCCUAAUACAUGCAAGUCGAGCGAACAGACGAGGAGCUUGCUCCUCUGACGUUAGCGGCGGACGGGUGAGUAACACGUGGAUAACCUACCUAUAGGACUGGGAUAACUUCGGGAAACCGGAGCUAAUACCGGAUAAUAUAUUGAACCGCAUGGUUCAAUAGUGAAAGACGGUUUUGCUGUCACUUAUAGAUGGAUCCGCGCCGCAUUAGCUAGUUGGUAAGGUAACGGCUUACCAAGGCAACGAUGCGUAGCCGACCUGAGAGGGUGAUCGGCCACACUGGAACUGAGACACGGUCCAGACUCCUACGGGAGGCAGCAGUAGGGAAUCUUCCGCGAUGGGCGAAAGCUUGACGUAGCAACGCCGCGUGAGUGAUGAAGGUCUUCUGAUCGUAAAACUCUGUUAUUAGGGAAGAACAAAUGUGUAAGUAACUAUGCACGUCUUGACGGUACCUAAUCAGAAAGCCACGGCUAACUACGUG
rnacentral:rRNA from 1 species